GUCUGCACUCCGGGGAGCGGACAGGAGGCAGGAGCUGCGCAGGACCGAGCCAUCAGCGCCUCGUGCUGACUUGGUGUCCAGCCAGGAGGAAAUCAUCAGCCCAGCAGCGCAGACCUUGCGCUGGGCAAAGCUCAACUCACCACAGCCCCAGAGCAGGGUAGGCGGGUGGGCACCUGUCCCACAGACGGCGAGAUGGAGACGGGCAACAGCCCGCAGCUCUGCCAUCCCCCUGGUCCCCUGCCCAUCUGUGCACCUGGUGACGGAGCAGACGUGGAGACUGUUCCCACUCGGCCCAGCCCCACCAGGGCACAGCGGCCGCAGUUAGUGCCCGUCUCCGGAGACAGCCGCCCUUGAGAUGACACGGUUACAUUGCAGAGCACGAGGCAGGGCGGGCAGCAAAGGAGGGUCCAGGAACGGAGGGGAAUUUGGGGAGGCACAGCAGGAAGUCAGUCCAGAGCCCCUGGGGCAUACCCCUGUGCUCAGCACAGAAAGGGCAUCAGGGCACAUCCCGCUUCGGGACCUCUGUGCAAGAGCGCCCCAUGGAUACGAGCUCCUCAUAGCAAUGCAGUCCAGGCAGAGGAAAACCUGACCUUGCUGAUGGUCCAGCAUCAAUGUGGCCACACAUCUCCACACAUCUCCCAUCUGCCGGACCCUGCUGAGUGGAGCAGUCCCAACAGGAGCCCGGAAAAGUAAAGGAGAAGAAUCUCAAGGAGUUUGUUGUUCUCCACACAGAGCUGAAAUGCGCUCCUCUUCUUCCUGGCCCUUGUCCUGAAAUCCCCCGCUGCUCAGAGCGAGCUGGCACUAGCAUCUCACAGACUGCACUCGAAGCAGGGGCCAGCGUGCCAGAGCGGUGCACGGCUGCCUUCCCCUGUUGGGGAUUGCCGGAAAGCACCGCGUCCCCAGAUCUGUGGGUGAAUCCAUGCAGCCCCUUGGCAGGCAAUGCCAUCGUGCCCAUGGGGGCAGGCCUGCAUGAUGUGGCUGGGCAGCAGGCCAUGCCCCAGGUGUUGCAGCGUGUGCAAACGCCUUGCUGGCUUCUGGUCUCAGCUCUGCUCCUGUCGGAGAACCAGGGAGGUGCCAAAAUGCCUUGCCUCAGCAAGGGGCGCAGCUGACUUUGGAGGGGCCACUAGAGACACUUGCCAAAGGGACCUUCUCCUGACACCAGACACAAAGUGCAAGGCUCUUCCCUGUGUCAGGGUUGUGCAACACAAACGAACCACUCAAGGAUCUCACCCACUUUGCAGCUCUCGUGCUGCUGGGACCCGCUUCUGCACCGUGUCAUGCUGGAAAGACUGCUCUGCGAUGAGGCUGGCAUCCUCUCCUCGCAGGCAGCUCAAAGCCCGUGCUGAGCAAGGGUCAUCUUCCCUGUUCUGCUGUGCAGGGAGAAGAGGAGCGAGGCGGUGCAGGGGAUGCAGCCAGCCCUGAAGAGCUUGGGGCUAGCUCUGCUCCUGCAGCAGAGGUGCCAGCGACGUGGGCAGCUCGGCACAGCCAGGGUGCGGGACCUGCAUCCUCCCCACGUCAUGCAGCACUUGAGAGAACUGGUCACUUCUCUCCACGUUGGUCACUUUUAGCCUCCUAGCUCAGACGCCAAAGGCAGCGGGGACUGAGCCUGGGGCUGCCUAAGGUCUGAGAACGCUGCUCCCUUCCCACAGACCCUGCUGCAUCCCUAGGUUCGAAGCUCCCGUCUCGGAGGGUAGCGUACGAGCAGCGGUCUGAGGCAGAGCCCUCCUCGCCCUCCUCUGCCUGCUAGCUCCCCUUUCCCUCCCCACACUGGGAAGCAGUGGGGUUUUUAAAAAAAUGGAGAAAAAAACAAGAGAGGGGGGAUUUCUGCAGAAAGAAAGAGGAAGGGAAUGCAGCAAUUUCUGUGGCGACAGCGACAGGAAACGGCAAAAGCCUUGUGAAACUCCGCCUUUGGUAUCCUGGGGCUCUUCCUAGCCCUGACAUGCAUGCUGUUGUCCGGGGGCCUGCGGGCGGGCGGCUGUGCGUCGCAGAGCUGUGCUUCGCGGGUGUCUCCUCGUGGUUUCGUCCCUGGGCUUGGGCAGCUCCCGAGCACCUCUCCCCUCCGGCCCAGCACUGCCGGCUCCUCUCGGCCUUGCUCUCGGUCAGGCUUUGCAGACAGCCGCCUCUGUGGGACUGUCCCCGGUGUCCUGAGGGGCUUCUUGGAGAGGGGCAGUGCUGGGCAGGGGCGACGAGAGGGGAUCCAAGCUCCGUGGGGUUCGGCAGUCCCGGGGGAGAGGGUGGCACAUGC